rnacentral:sRNA from 1 species
AAUUGCUCAGAAGCAGUAAAUAGGUUUGUUAGUGUUUCCAUGGUCAAAAUGUAUCACGAUCCAAUGUAUUUGACUAAUUCUAUCAGUUAAAGAUGGAUUAGGAGUGUUUAGACAACACUUAUACCCAUUUUGUCCCAAAAGAGGCUAAAACCAACAAAAAAUUGCUUAGAAGUAGUAAUAGCUUUGUUAGUGUUUUUAUGGUAAAAAUGUGUCACAAUCCAAUGCAUUUGACUAAUUAUAAGAGAUAAAGAUAGAUAAGGAGUGUUUGGACAACACUUAUACCCAUUUUCUCCCAGAAGAGGCUAAAACCAACAAAAAUUAAC